UGGGGAAUAUUGGACAAUGGGCGCAAGCCUGAUCCAGCCAUGCCGCGUGAGUGAAGAAGGCCUUAGGGUUGUAAAGCUCUUUCGCCCGCGAGGAUAAUGACGGUAGCGGGAGAAGAAGCCCCGGCUAACUCCGUGCCAGCAGCCGCGGUAAUACGGAGGGGGCUAGCGUUGUUCGGAAUUACUGGGCGUAAAGCGCGCGUAGGCGGCUUGCCAAGUCAGGGGUGAAAGCCCGGGGCUCAACCUCGGAAUUGCCUUUGAGACUGGCGGGCUUGAGGACGGGAGAGGUAAGUGGAAUUCCGAGUGUAGAGGUGAAAUUCGUAGAUAUUCGGAAGAACACCAGUGGCGAAGGCGGCUUACUGGACCGUUACUGACGCUGAGGCGCGAAAGCGUGGGGAGCAAA
rnacentral:rRNA from 1 species